rnacentral:tRNA from 1 species
GGUAAGGUGGCUGAGUAUAGCGUUAGACUGUAAAUCUAAACACAGGGGUUUAAGUCCCCUUUUUACCA